UACGUAGGGGGCAAGCGUUGUUCGGAAUUACUGGGCGUAAAGGGCGCGUAGGCGGCUCGGCAAGUCGGGAGUGAAAGCCCGGGGCUCAACCCCGGAACGGCUCUCGAAACUGCCGGGCUCGAGUGCGGAAGAGGCAACCGGAAUUCCCAGUGUAGCGGUGAAAUGCGUAGAUAUUGGGAAGAACACCUGAGGCGAAGGCGGGUUGCUGGGCCGACACUGACGCUGAUGCGCGAAAGCCAGGGGAGCGAACGGG
rnacentral:rRNA from 1 species